CAUUCCUCCGCACCCAUUCCUCGCUCGUGUCCGUUCUGAGUCUCAAAUCAUGUCUCCGUUCUAAGUCUCAAAUGAUGUCUCCGUUCUAAGUCUCGACAACCUUCAAAUGCUUCUUCAAUAUUGUUUAUUCAUAGAUGUCGAAGAAGCACUCACAGAUCUCGUAUUCGAACGUUCACCAGUUUGUCAAUAGGUAUAAAUCUAUAUAAUCAAGCUGCAAUUCUCUCAAAGUUCUAUCAAGAUCUUUUGGUACAUCUUCCGGAGCAUGAUCUGUACACCUGCACAUCAUCUUAGUUUCAGGAUGAGUUGAAGAAGCAUAUAAUUGAGGCAGAAAGUUCACAAACCACUCAAGAUACUACCAAUUGGAAAAAUGAUAUAUACUCAAAAGUUAAAGGACCUGAAAAAAGAGGACGAGUGUGUUGUCUUGGAAAGCUUCCACGACAUGCAAGUUCAUACCAAAGCUCUACCAUAGACAAUAGAAUUCAAAAAUUAGAAAAUUUGCUUGGAAAUCUUGUUCCUGUCCUUCAAUCACGAUUUGUAGAUGAUCCACAUAUUAAUCAAGUUUUACGAGCUGUAUCUGAAGAGGUACCUACAAAUGUUUCAAAUGAUUCUAUUAGUGAAAAUCAUCAAACUACAAGAGACCCCAAAUGAGAAAAGUUGAUAUAGGAUUGGUGAAGGAUUUACAUGCAGUGGAUCAACAUAGAUGGCAAUACUUACAGGAUGACAUUUAUCAAUGCAAUAUGUUUUCCUUUUUUA